GGGUCAAUGACGAGAACUCCACUCUUGAAGAGAGGUGAUGACUGAAAAAUUGUAUCUAAAAUGUUCACGCUGAGGCCC